CUUAAUUUAUGUUUUAAUAGAAUCCAAAACUUCACGUUGCUUUCUUGAAUGACAUGUAAACAACUCAUGUGAACAACCUAACAUAUGCUGCUGUCAACAGUCAGUGAUUUAUCGCUGUAAGGAUUUUCUCUAUUGCAUGAUGCUUUAGCGCUGAUGCUCGGUCUUGUGUUGGAUAUAUCUCCCAACUGCUGCUAGUGCUUUCUCAUCGAGUUCUUGCUCUCUUGAUUUCAAGAUUGGUUAAUGCUGAAUCCAAAACUUCACGUUGCUUUCUUAAAUCACAUGUAAACAACUCAUGUGAACAACCUAACAUAUGCUGCUGUCAACAGCCAGUGAUUUUCUCUGAUGCAUGAUUCUUUAGCGCUGAUUAAAUAGACGCUCGGCAAUCAGCAAUGAGAAGAAAACAGAGAACCAUUG